rnacentral:rRNA from 1 species
AUGAAUUCUUAUGAAACGGACAUAGACAGCCAAGAUCUUCUCCAACGCCUGGCCCUUUGCAGUCCAGAUGAACAAGGGUACGAGCUGCGUCAAGGCAUCAUUCGUUUGCAUAGCAAGAUCUGGAUUGGGGCCAACACCGCUAUACAGACCAAAUUGAUCAAUGCAUUCCACGCAAGUGCGAUUGGUGGUCACUCAGGAGUAACAGCUACGUAUCAGCGGGUCAAAAAGUUGUUUGCUUGGCGCGGUCUGAAACAAGCAGUGGAGGAUUUUGUCCGGCAGUGCUCGGUAUGUCAGCACGCGAAGCAUGAACACUUGAAGACGCCCGGUCUCCUUCAACCUCUCCCAGUACCCACUGAACCUUGGAGGGAUUUAACCAUGAAUUUCGUAGAAGGAUUGCCAGCUUCUGAGGGCUACGAGGUGAUCAUGGUCGUGGUCGACCGCUUCACCAAAUAUGCUCACUUUGUCCCACUACGUCACCCGUUCACAGCAGCAACAGUGGCUCGAGCAUUUUGGGAUAACAUCAUCAAGUUACAUGGAGUGCCCCAUUCGAUUGUCUCCGAUCGUGACAAGAUUUUCACUAGUGCCAUGUGGCGUGCUCUGUUGGAAGCAGCGGGCACGAAACUCAGCUAUUCCACGGCUUACCAUCCUCAGACAGACGGACAGAGUGAACGGGUGAAUCAAUGCCUUGAAAUGUAUCUCCGGUGUGCAGUCCAUGAAACACCCAAACAAUGGCGCAAGUGGCUUCCAACAGCUAAAUUUUGGUAUAACACCACUCAUCACUCCUCCUUGAAUACUUCUCCAUUCAAAGCUCUCUAUGGUCAAGAACCAAACCUCGGUGGCCUGCCCACCUUAUCUCUGAACCUGCCAGACAACAAGGAUGCAGACUUGGACUGGGCAACACACAAUGACAGGCUACGUGCUCAACUUGCCCAGGCACAAAACAGAUGCAAACAGAAGGCUGAUCGGAACAGGACAGAGCAUUCUUUCAAUGUCGGUGAUCAAGUUUUGCUCAAAUUACAGCCCUAUGCUCAGUCCAUCGUGGCCAAUCGCCCUUGCCCAAAAUUAGCAUUCAAGUUCUUUGGUCCGUUCACAGUGGAGCAGUGCAUUGGUACUCGAGCAUAUAAACUGACACUGCCAGCCGGCAAUCGCAUCCACCCGGUAUUCCACGUCUCACAGCUGAAGCCGUUCACACCAGACUAUUCUCCGGUCUUCGCUGAGCUUCCUCGAACACCGGACCUCACUGCUGCGCCACUACAGCCUGAGGCAAUACUGGAUCGCCGAAUGGUCAAGAAAGGCAACACUUCCAUCAUCCAGGUUCGUGUACAGUGGUCAUCGCUCUCUCCGGAUUCUGCAACCUGGGAGGACUACACGGUGCUUCGUCAUCGAUACCCGACAGCCCGAUGUUGGGAUGAUGCCGCUUCCGCUCAAGGGGGGGCAAUUGUCACACCUGCUCCCACCUGA